rnacentral:rRNA from 1 species
AUUGAACGCUGGCGGCAGGCCUAACACAUGCAAGUCGAACGAGUGGCGGACGGGUGAGUAAUGUCUGGGAAACUGCCUGAUGGAGGGGGAUAACUACUGGAAACGGUAGCUAAUACCGCAUACCAUCUGAUGUGCCCAGAUGGGAUUAGCUAGUCGGUGGGGUAAUGGCGCACCAAGGCGACGAUCCCUCGCUGGUCUGCGAGGAUGACGAGCCAAUCUGGAACUAAGAAACUGUCCAGACUCCUACGGGAGGAAGCAGUGGGGAAUAUUGCACGAUGGGCGCAAGCCUGAUGCAGCCAUGCCGCGUGUAUGAAGAAGGCCUUCGGGUUGUAAAGUACUUUCAGCGGGGAGGCGUUACCCGCAGAAGAAGCACAGGCUAACUCCGUGCCAGCAGCCGCGGUAAUUC